UGUAGGAGUGAGCCUGCUCGCGAUAGCGGUGUGUCAGUUACAAUUUUUUAUCUGACACACCGCUAUCGCGAGCAGGCUCACUCCUACA
rnacentral:misc_RNA from 1 species